rnacentral:rRNA from 1 species
ACGCUCGACACCUACGGAGGCAGCAGUGGGGAAUAUUGCACAAUGGGGGGAAACCCUGAUGCAGCGACGCCGCGUGGAGGAAGAAGGUCUUCGGAUUGUAAACUCCUGUUGUUGGGGAAAAAGAGGAUGGUACCCAACAAGGAAGUGACGGCUAACUACGUGCCAGUAGCGCGGUAACGUUACUUGAGGCGGGCGUGGCGAAGGACG